rnacentral:rRNA from 1 species
GUAGGGUGCAAGCGUUAAUCGGAAUUACUGGGCGUAAAGCGUGCGCAGGCGGUUUUGUAAGUCUGUCGUGAAAGCCCCGGGCUCAACCUGGGAAUUGCGAUGGAGACUGCAAGGCUUGAAUCUGGCAGAGGGGGGUAGAAUUCCACGUGUAGCAGUGAAAUGCGUAGAGAUGUGGAGGAACACCGAUGGCGAAGGCAGCCCCCUGGGUCAAGAUUGACGCUCAUGCACGAAAGCGUGGGGGAGCAAACAGGAUUAGAUACCCUGGUAGUCCACGCCCUAAACGAUGUCUACUAGUUGUCGGGUUUUAAUUAACUUGGUAACGCAGCUAACGCGUGAAGUAGACCGCCUGGGGAGUACGGUCGCAAGAUUA